rnacentral:rRNA from 1 species
GUGUCAGCAGCCGCGGUAAUACAGAGACUGCAAGCGUUACUCGGAUUCACUGGGCGUAAAGGGAGCGCAGGCGGACCGGUGUGUCAGAUGUGAAACCCCAGGGCUCAACCCUGGGACUGCGUCUGAAACUGCCGGUCUAGGGACUCGGAGGGGCUAGUGGAAUUCCUGGUGGAGCAGUGAAAUGCGUAGAUAUCAGGAGGAACACCAACGGCGAAGGCAGCUAGCUGGACGAGAUCCGACGCUCAGGCUCGAAAGUAUGGGGAGCAAAAAGGAUUAGAUACCCUUGUAGUCC